UGACAGAGCCAUUCACAAGCACGGGCCAUAAAUGACCGAGUUGAACACCACAUUAAGCACUGCAUUCUCAAAAAUCAGCACUGACUGGAGCACAGCCAAAAUGCCAGGAACAAAAGGUAAUAAGUCGGACAAGAAGUCAGCUACCAAGCAACCUCAGAGUCCUAAAGAGCAGCCGAAGAAAGGUGAUCAGAAAGGAGAUGAUAACAAGAAGCAAGGAGGACAGCCGAAGGGAGAGAAGCAAUAACUUCCAGGCAUUUGUGAAGAUGGCUUUGGAGACGCUGCUGGGGUCCUGCCGUCGUAAACAUGGCGGCCCCCGGGGCAAACAGGACUGAGUGCGCCGCACUUUCCCCCUGAGCCUGCAGCCUGGGCUGUUGUGCAGCCUUCCAAUACAGCAUCUGCUCACCUCUCACAGAGGCAGAAAGUGAACCUGAUCUCCAUCCAUCACCAUCUGUUGUUCAACCUGUGUUCCUUCCCCCCCUCUCCAACCCUUUUCUGUCCCCUUCCCCAUCACUAUCCUCUCUGGCUUAUUGGAUGCUCAGAAAUAGACUCCAGGUUAAACUGGACCAUUGCUUUGAGCUAAAAAAAACCCCUUUCCCAUCGUUCCCUAACGCACCCUCAUACCAUGACUGACUGUCUAACAGUCCAUACAGUCUUCUUGUAAAUAAUCAUUCAAAUAAACAACAAUUUCUUACAACA